rnacentral:rRNA from 1 species
UUCGUGCCAGCAGCCGCGGUAAUACGAAGGGGGCUAGCGUUGCUCGGAAUGACUGGGCGUAAAGGGCGCGUAGGCGGCGCACUUAGUCGGGCGUGAAAGUCCUGGGCUCAACCUGGGGACGGCGCUCGAUACGGGUGUGCUUGAGUGUGGAAGAGGGUUGUGGAAUUCCCAGUGUAGAGGUGAAAUUCGUAGAUAUUGGGAAGAACACCGGUGGCGAAGGCGGCAACCUGGUCCAUUACUGACGCUGAGGCGCGAAAGCGUGGGGAGCAAACA